AGUGAACGCUGGCGGUAGGCCUAACACAUGCAAGUCGAACGGCAGCACAGUAAGAGCUUGCUCUUACGGGUGGCGAGUGGCGGACGGGUGAGGAAUACAUCGGAAUCUACUUUUUCGUGGGGGAUAACGUAGGGAAACUUACGCUAAUACCGCAUACGACCUACGGGUGAAAGCAGGGGAUCUUCGGACCUUGCGCGAUUAAUGAGCCGAUGUCGGAUUAGCUAGUUGGCGGGGUAAAGGCCCACCAAGGCGACGAUCCGUAGCUGGUCUGAGAGGAUGAUCAGCCACACUGGAACUGAGACACGGUCCAGACUCCUACGGGAGGCAGCAGUGGGGAAUAUUGGACAAUGGGCGCAAGCCUGAUCCAGCCAUACCGCGUGGGUGAAGAAGGCCUUCGGGUUGUAAAGCCCUUUUGUUGGGAAAGAAAAGCAGCAGGUUAAUACCCCGCUGUUCUGACGGUACCCAAAGAAUAAGCACGGGCUAACUUCGUG
rnacentral:rRNA from 1 species